rnacentral:rRNA from 1 species
GACGAACGCUGGCGGCGUGCCUAAUACAUGCAAGUAGAACGCUGAAGGAGGAGCUUGCUUCUCUGGAUGAGUUGCGAACGGGUGAGUAACGCGUAGGUAACCUGCCUGGUAGCGGGGGAUAACUAUUGGAAACGAUAGCUAAUACCGCAUAAUAGCAGUUGUUGCAUGAUAACUGUUUGAAAGGUGCAAUUGCACCACUACCAGAUGGACCUGCGUUGUAUUAGCUAGUUGGUGGGGUAACGGCUCACCAAGGCGACGAUACAUAGCCGACCUGAGAGGGGGAUCGGCCACACUGGGACUGAGACACGGCCCAGACUCCUACGGGAGGCAGCAGUAGGGAAUCUUCGGCAAUGGACGGAAGUCUGACCGAGCAACGCCGCGUGAGUGAAGAAGGUUUUCGGAUCGUAAAGCUCUGUUGUAAGAGAAGAACGAGUGUGAGAGUGGAAAGUUCACACUGUGACGGUAUCUUACCAGAAAGAGACGGCUAACUACGUG